GUAGAAAAAUGGAUGGAUGGAUGGAAAACGCUGGUUCGUGUGUUUUUAAAACAAAUGUCAGCACACAUGGUUUAAUUGAGGUGGCGACUUGUCCAGUGUGUACCCCGCCUUCCGCUCGGAUGCAGCUGGGAUAGGCUCCAGCGCCCCUGCGACGCCGAACGGGACAAGAGGUAGCAAAUCGAUGAAUGGACAUGGUUUAAUUAUUUUUAAAGUGCUUUUACCCCAAAGGCUAAUAAUAAUAAUAAUAAUAAUAAUGAGUUACCGUUUACAGUAAUAAAACAACAUUAAUAUAACAACCAACUCACAUGUCCACUCACUUGCACUGCCUGCAGAGCUGCUAUAGACGCAGGCGAUUGCCCUUAUAUGGUCAUGGCCCGGGUCAUGUGACCAUAAAAUGGUGGCAGCUGUGAGCGGUUCGCGCGCCGAGUAUCUCCGGCGAGAGGCUGGCAGCAGGAAGUAAAGGCGCUGGGAUCCAUGUUUUGACUCACAGCAGCUCCCUCUCCAGCAGCGGUCCUCCUCGGGAUGGAGCUGAUGUCGGAGCAUAAAAUGAACUCUGAAGGAAGCGAAAGUAGACCCGCCCCGCCCACCUCCCUACCUCUGGAAGGAGGCCCCACCCAGCGGAAGAAGCUAUCAGCCCCUCGCAUCAGCCUCUCUCUGGACCAGAGCGAGGAUGACUUAGGGGAGACGCCGGAUGACCUUGACAUCAAUGUGGAUGACAUUGACACUCCAGAUGAAGGCGAUUACCUGGACUGCACGGACCACGAGAUGGACGGGGACGACCCCAGAGCAGCCAGUCGAAGUCGGACAAGCGAGUUGUACGACUCCAUUCCGACCUACGGCGGUGAGGAGGAGCGUCAGGACGGCAAACUAUGGCGGACGGUGAUCAUCGGUGAGCAGGAGCAUCGCAUCAACAUGAAGAUCAUCGAGCCGUACAUGCGAGUCAUCUCCCAUGGAGGCUAUUACGGCAAUGGUGUGAACGCCAUCAUCGUGUUUGCCGCCUGUUUCCUGCCAGACAGCAACAGCGACGACUAUCACGAAAUCAUGGAGAACCUUUUCCUGUUUGUAAUCAGUACCUUGGAGUUGAUGGUGGCAGAAGACUACAUGAUCGUGUAUUUAAACGGAGCCACGCCCCACAGAAGAAUGCCAGGCCUUGGUUGGCUGAAGAAAUGUUACCAGAUGAUCGACAGAAGGCUGAGGAAGAAUUUAAAAUCCUUCAUCAUUCUGCAUCCAUCUUGGUUCAUCAGGACCAUCCUCGCCAUCACCAAGCCUUUCAUCAGCACCAAGUUCAGCAGCAAGAUUCAAUACGUCAACAGUUUGGACGAGCUGCGAGAUCUCAUCCCUAUGGAAAACGUCAACAUCCCAGAGUGCAUCAUGAGACUUGACCAGGAACUGAAGGAAGCAGGCGAGAACUUCAACACCCUGGACAGAGGCGGUGAAAGCACGCUGAUCACAUUCCCUUUCCACAGUACCAUUAUCACUGGAGGACGAGGAAAAGCUAACACCUACUCAGUGGCGUAGUGGUUAGAGUGUCUGCCCUGAGAUCGAGUGAAUAGUUUUUUGCUGGGAUCAGAGCCAACAGCUGCCGACACAACAGACAGAGCAGACCAAGCCGGUGCCAGCGGCCCUUAAAGUCACUGUCCUGUUGUGAGUGUAUGUGUGUGUGUGCGUGUGUGUGUGUGUGUUAAAAAAUAUCACGUUUUAGAGUUGAAUGUGACAGCUAGUAAUAGGAAUACGUCCCAUGCACACAUGGAGGAACAGUAGAUGUUAUUCCCAUGGAAUACAUCGACACUCUCGAUCUACAGUAGUGUGUUUUGUUUUGUGUUGUUGUUGUUGUCGUGUGCAUGACAGGAAGUGAAGCAAUAAUAUCACCCUGCUCACACACACAUAUCCCUUCUAUCAGGAUGUCACCUUUUCAGAAUAAGAUUGUGACUAAAACAAUGACAACAACAAAAAUAGUGCAUAAAAGUCACAACGCAGAACUAGAUUUAAUGGAGCCUCCCUGGACACUUCAUUAGGUACACAUCCCAUUACUGUUGUGGUUUGGCAUCAUUUUCACUACUGUUUUUUAUUUAUUUUUUUAUUCUAAUUUAAAAAAUUUUUUCUAGAAUAUUAGAAACUUUCUAAACUUUUUUGAAAAUGUAUGUAAAAUAUUUCAAAACAUUAUUAUUGUUUUGUUUUUUUUGCUACAGUAGUGUCGUAUUCCACUGCAUCAAACGACAGCAAGUUUCCCCAAAAAUUUAAUAAUAAGCUCAAAUCUAAAAUAUUAUACAUUUGAUAAUUUUUCAUUCUAAAAAUAGUUUUUAAAUAUACUAAAAACUUGAAAAUAAUUUUAUUUUAAAAUACUUAAACAUAUUUAAAAAUAUAUAAGUUUAAGAUUAUUUAAAAAAUAGUUUUUAGGGGUCCAAAAAUGUAAUGAAAAAAAAAAUCUAAAAUAUUAUACAUUUGAUAUUUUAUUGUAAAAAAAAAGUAUUUGUUACAUACAUUUUCAACACCCUAUCACACAUAUUUAAAAAUAUAUACAGUAUUUUUUUCAAAUGAGAUUCUUGUGGUUUACACAUUCACUGCAUCUUACUGAUAAUAAAUAAAAAAUAGUCUAAAAUAUUACAAACGUAAUCAUUUUUCAUUCUAAAAAUAUGUAUUAAAACUAUUUUAAUGAUGUAACGGUAUGUUUAAGAUCAUUUUUAAAAUAGUUUGUAGUGGUCUACAAAUUCACUGCAUCAUACUGACAGCAGUUUCCAAAAAUGUAAUGAAAAAAAUUAUCAAAAAGAUUAUACAUUUGAUAUUUUAUUCCAAAAAAAUUAUUUGUUACAUACAUUUUUAAUACCCUAUCAGACAUAUUUAAAAAUAUAUAUAUAUAUUUUUUCAAAUGAGAUUCUUGUGGUUUACACAUUCACUGCAUCUUACUGAUAAUAAAUGCAAAUAGUUUAAAAUAUUAUAAACUUAAUUUCUCAUUCUAAAAAUAUGUAUUAAAACUAUUAUAAUGAUGUAACGUUAUGUUUAAGAUAUAUUUUUUAAAUAGUUUGUAGGGGUCUACAAAUUAACAGCAUCAUACUGACAGCAGUUUCCAAAAAAUGUAAUGAAAAAAAACAUCUAAAAAAUUAUAAAUGUGAUAUGUCAAUAAAAAAAAAAGUAUGUAGUACUAACAGAUAUUUUUAACACCCUAUAACACACAUUUAAAAAAUGUUAUAAAUAUAUCGAUUGUUGUGGUAUACAAAUUCACUGCAUCUUACUUAUAGCAUUUUCCAAAAAAAUUAUUUUAAAAUAAUCUAAAAUAUUAUAAACUUGAUCAUUUUUCAUUCUAAAAAUAUUAGUUAAAACUAUUAAAAAUGUGUUCAAAUGUUUCAUUUUAAAACACAUUUUAAAUGAUAUAAAAUAGAUUGUAAUGGUCUACAAUUUCCAUGCAUCACUCUGACAACAGUUGCCAAAACAUUUUAUGAAAAAAAAAAAAAUACAGUAUAUAUACGGUAUAAUACAUUUCAUAUUUAAUUCUAAAAAUAUUAGUCAUAAAUAUUUUUAAAACCUUGUCACAUAUACAUGAAAAAAAAUGCUUUGAAUCUUAAAAAAAUAAAAUAAAAAUAAGAUGAUAGUGGUUUACAAACACGCUGCAUCAUACUGACAGCGGUUGUAAUGAAAAAAAAAAUCUAAAAUAAUAUACAUUUGAAAAUUACAAUCUUUAAGAAAAAAAGAUUGUUAUGGUUUACAAAUGUACUGUAUUAUACUGACAACAGUUUAAAAAAUGUAAUGUAAAAAAAAAUUCAAAAAAUUGUAAACUUGCUCGUAUUCAAUUCUAAACAUAUUUGAUUAUGAAAAAAAUAAAUAGAUAAUAUAGAUAUUUUCGAGAUAUGUUUUACAACUAUACGAGAGAUAUUAAUUGAACAAAGUGUUUAUUAUGGUUGACUGCAUCCUACUAACCCUACAAAAACAAACAAACAAAAAAAAAUAAAAAAAUUAAUGAAUAUAUACUGUAUAUAUAUUUGAUUUCUGAUAUUUAAUCCUAAAAAAUACAGACAGUUGUUACCAUUUAGGUACACUAGAUAAAUACAAUAAUAAACAUGAAUACUAAAAUACAUGAAUACUUCAAUGGCAGUGUCCCUGCUAGUGUGGGUGUACCUAAUUAAGUGACCAUUGCGAGUGUUUCUAACUACUAUUAUGUCUUUUUAGUGAUGAGCUACUGUACGACAUUGUGUUUGGUCACCUUCCUUUAGGAAAAACUGUAAACAUCAAGAGGAUUAAGCACAAUAUCUUCUGUGUAUGUGUGCCUUUGUGCAUGUAUCCUCAAAGAUACACUAAUUGAUGAUCUAAUGUACACAAAUGAUGGUCACACGUGACUUGUAGUAUAUUAAUAAAUAGACUUGUGUCUGAACCUUUUGUGAUGUUCCAUUCUUAUGUUUUGUGAGUCAAUGAAUCGCCAGGUGGGAUUUUCCUAAAACUUUAUUUCAACACAAUUUCAACAUUCACAAAAGUAUUGGGACACACUUCUGAGUAAAUCAACUGAUAUAGUUUAAAUACUGUCCCAAUUCUUCUGUCCUUCCUUGUUGUAUAUUUUCAGUUUACAAGCCAGUGAAUGCAAAUAUAGAGCAGGACAGCAAAUUAAAAACAAAUACUUCCUCAUAUUGUGGCCUGGAGGUGUUUAUUUUGAAGGAGGCCAACACCUAAACAAUAUAAACACAUUUUAAGAAUAAUGUUAAACAACAUUUUAGGUUUCUCCACACAUGACUAAUGAUCGAUAAAAUAAAACAAACUAUACUACAAUUAAUGCAAGUAACUGUCAAGUCUUCCAUAAUAGAGCGAGUGCCGUAUUUAUCUGACCAUAAGGCACACCAGAUUACAAGGCGAUCUGCAGAUGAGCGGGUCUAUUCAGAUGUAUUUUCACACAAAAGGCGCACCGUAUUAUGAGGCGCAUUAAAGGGUUCAUAUUAUGAUUUUUGACUACGUUUAAAACACUUUCUUGUGUUCAACAUAACAUGUAAUGGUGGUUCUUAAGUAAAAAUGUUGCAUAAAAUAUGUUUUACGCUUUCUGACUUCAGGAUGCGCCGUUUGGUGUGCGGUCUUGUUUACGUGGCUCCACUUCGACAGCGUCUUACCCCCGUCAUCUUUGCUGUACUGGUAGUUUUUAGCACUUCAAUAGUGAGUAUACUGACAGAUACAAGUUAGAACAGUAUACUACUUUGUAUUAGAAAUGGUAAAAAUGGAGAAUGAAUGCCCCACAAGAGGAUAGAUAGAGACAAAAAAGUAACUUUUUGACUACGGCGCAAUUUUUUGGGAAUUACGCUGAU